rnacentral:rRNA from 1 species
CAGUAGCCGCGGGAAUACGAAGGGUGCAAGCGUUACUCGGAAUUACUGGGCGUAAAGCGUGCGUAGGUGGUGGUUUAAGUCCGUUGUGAAAGCCCUGGGCUCAACCUGGGAAUUGCAGUGGAUACUGGGUCACUAGAGUGUGGUAGAGGAUAGUGGAAUUUCCGGUGUAGCAGUGAAAUGCGUAGAGAUCGGAAGGAACAUCUGUGGCGAAGGCGACUAUCUGGGCCAACACUGACACUGAGGCACGAAAGCGUGGGGAGCAAACAGGAUUAGAUACCCGUGUAGUCCCUGUCUCUUAUAU